ensembl:snRNA U6 U6 spliceosomal RNA
AUGCUUGCUUCGGCAGCACAUAUGCUAAAACUGGAGCGAUACAGAAAAGAUUAGCAUGGCCCCUGCACAAGGAUGACACACAAAUUUGUGAAGCGUUUCAUAUUUUU